GACGAACGCUGGCGGCGUGCUUAACACAUGCAAGUCGAACGGAAAGGCCUGUCCUUCCUUGUGUUGGACGGGUACUCGAGUGGCGAACGGGUGAGUAACACGUGAGUGAUCUGCCCCCAACUUGGGUAUAAGCCUGGGAAACUGGGUCUAAUUCCCGAUAGGACUGCAGGGUGGUGCCUGUGGUGGAAAACGAUUGUCUAGUGGUUGGGGAUGAGCUCGCGGCCUAUCAGCUUGUUGGUGGGGUAAUGGCCUACCAAGGCGGCGACGGGGAGCCGGCCUGAGAGGGUGGACGGCCACAUUGGGACUGAGAUACGGCCCAGACUCCUACGGGCAGCAGCAGUGGGGAAUAUGGCGCAAUGGGCGGAAGCCUGAUGCAGCGACGCCGCGUGGGGGAUGACGGCCUUCGGGUGGUAAACUCCUUUCGACCGCGAGGAAGCCGCCUGGUUGGAAGGGUGGUGACGGUAGUGGUAGAAGAAGCACCGGCUAACUACGUG
rnacentral:rRNA from 1 species